CUACUUGGGGUUAAGAGAAGAAGAUGUACGUCACAAGGCCUCUCUCUCUGCUCAGGAAAUUCCCGAACGCCCUGUCGUCUCCUCCGGAGGGCCCGAACUCAGGCUAUUUGGUGAUCCUAGACGAAGAAGCCGUGAAUACUUGCUGUUUUGGCCGGUGUGAAGAUACCUGGAUCUAUGAACUUCCCUUCCCUCAGGACAAGCACCUCACUAUCGAAUACAGGACCAGCAGAGGAGCUGGUCACAACCAUUCAAGCUCGACGACUUACAGGGACGAUGUAGUCUUGAUUCCGGUUCUGAAUCAGCCUCUGUCAUCCAACCGUUAUUACGCAAUUCAUCCGCAUGGGAGGCAUAAAGGGGAAGCGUAUGCAAAUUCAAAGCAAGAGGACACGCCCUCCUUCUUAUGUUUCCACUUAGUUAGAGAUGCAGAUCCGGCGCCGCUUCAUCCCUAUGACCCGUAUCAACAAUUCGGGAUUUAUCCCUACGAAACUCUGUUUGACUCGGGCCGGUUCUACGCCAGGUCUGUCGCGCAAGAUGGGUACCCUCCAAGAUUCUUAGAGAGAAAGGGCUGGAAGAUUUAUUGGAAAACCCCAAAGAGCUUCUACUUGGAUGACGCACCAGGGAUCGAUCGUCCACAGCGUGAACUCCUUCCAAGCUUUGACUUCCCGAUUGCACAAGAGAGAUCCGAUGAGGUGGUUGUGGGAAAGUGGUACUGUCCAUUCAUGUUUAUCAAGGAUGAAAUGGUAGGAGACCAAAUAAAGAAGUCCAUGUACUAUGGGAUGUCACUCGAGCAAAGAUGGGAACGGAUAUACACUCGUGAAAACAACGGUAAAGGGGUGAUAGGGUGCCUGUGGAUGUGGUUGUGCAAGACGAGGUCAUCUCGGUGGCCGGGAAGGAAGUGGUGGACGCGAAUGUGGCCGAUGGGGUGCUGUGGUGCGGGAGUGCUGGUGAUGAGAGGAGGGAACAGAGUUGGGUUGAGCUUGGCCAUUGUUGAGAGGAUGAAGUGGGAAGAGAGAAGGGUGGGUUGGGUUAAUGGAGAUGAGAAACAGGGGAAGGUUAACAGAGUGGAGGAGUUUGGUGGUGUUGGUGAAUGGAAGAGGUUUGGGUGUUACGUGUUGGUGGAGAGGUUUGUGUUGAGGAGAAUGGAUGGGAGUCUAGUGCUCACCUAUGAUUUCAAUCACACUCGUCAACUGAGGAAUAAAUGGGAAUGAUGAGAAGGAUUGAUUGGUUGAUUUGUCAAAGCUUUGUACCAAUUGUAUCAGUCAAGUAGCAAAAUUCUGUGAUUUCUCCUC